rnacentral:rRNA from 1 species
UUAAAUUGAAGAGUUUGAUCAUGGCUCAGAUUGAACGCUGGCGGCAGGCCUAACACAUGCAAGUCGAACGGUAACAGGAAGCAGCUUGCUGCUUCGCUGACGAGUGGCGGACGGGUGAGUAAUGUCUGGGAAACUGCCUGAUGGAGGGGGAUAACUACUGGAAACGGUGGCUAAUACCGCAUAACGU